AUCCGGCUGAUGAGUCCCGAUUAAGACGAAACGCGUGUACUGGAU
rnacentral:hammerhead_ribozyme from 1 species